rnacentral:rRNA from 1 species
GAUGAACGCUAGCGGCAGGCUUAACACAUGCAAGUCGAGGGGUAUAGUUCUUCGGAGCUAGAGACCGGCGCACGGGUGCGUAACGCGUAUGCAAUCUACCUUUUGCAGAGGGAUAGCCCAGAGAAAUUUGGAUUAAUACCUCAUGGUAUGUGAGAAUGGCAUCAUUUUCACAUUAAAGUCACAACGGCAAAAGAUGAGCAUGCGUCCCAUUAGCUAGUUGGUAAGGUAACGGCUUACCAAGGCAACGAUGGGUAGGGGUCCUGAGAGGGAGAUCACCCACACUGGUACUGGGACACUGACCAGACUCCUACGGGAGGCAGCAGUGAGGAAUAUUGGACAAUGGGCGCAAGCCUGAUCCAGCCAUGCCGCGUGCAGGAUGACGGUCCUAUGGAUUGUAAACUGCUUUUGUACAGGAAGAAACACUGGUUCGUGAACCAGCUUGACGGUACUGUAAGAAUAAGGAUCGGCUAACUCCGUGCCAGCAGCCGCAGGUAACAC